AGUCACUGACAUUAGAUACCCGUGUAGUCCAGGGUGUAAACGCUGCAGACUUGGUGUUGGAGGCCCUUUGGGGGCAUUCAGUGCCGGAGAGAAGUUGUUAAGUCUGCUACUUGGGAGUACGUCCGCAAGGAUGAAACUUAAAGGAAUUGGCGGGGGAGCACCGCAACGGGAGGAGCGUGCGGUUUAAUUGGAUUCAACACCGUAAAACUCACCAGGGAAGACUGUUACAUGAAAGCCGAGAUGAAGACUCUGCUAGAUUUUCAG
rnacentral:rRNA from 1 species